GGGCGAUUGGUUUAGUGGUAUAAUACCCCCUUAGCAUGGGGGUGGUCCAGGGUUCGAUUCCCUGAUCGUCCA
rnacentral:tRNA from 8 species